rnacentral:lncRNA from 1 species
GCCUUCCUGUCUUGAGAUCGGGUGGCCCUCCUCGAUGACCACUCAUUGCUGGAGGACCGCUGCGGCCGCGGGCUGCCCCUCAGGGGGUUCCUGGACCUUUGUGGGGACCGUGACCAGUGCCUGGGGCUCAGGCGCCGCACCUGCCGGGGGCUUCGGCUCCGGGGCCGUGACGGCCGGUAGCGGCCCGGGCUCCGGGAGCGCGAGCGGGAGUGCCGGGGGGCAUAGCUGGAGCCUGCGGGCCUCGGGCGCCUGGGGCCGGGGCUGGCUGAGUUGGAGCGGUGCUUCGGGGUCUGGUUCUCCUUCCUGUCUGCA